UAUGCUAGCAUUCGAAUGACGAUGGUACAUUUUGUCAAAUGAGAUAUGCCUUCUUUAUUGGAUACAUCAACUCAUUGGGUUAAAUAGUUGUCACUACUUGAUAGGUCUUCACUGAUCCGUAGAAAACAUGUUUUUGAAUCCAGAAUUGCCGACGAAAUAUUGCAUCAUCAUAAGUUGUUUGAUUCUUAAAGUAAUCAUCAAUAAAUAUUUGUUUUACCGCUACAUGAUAUCUUUGGAAGUAUUUUCUCUUACGAGACGCCUGAUCUUCAUCAAUUUUAUUUCAGCGCUCUCUAAACCGAUUAACAAUAUACCUCUCAUCAAUUUCAGACUUUUUUUUGUAAACUUUAAUAUCCAAAGAAAAUUCUGAUGGAUCUAUUGAAAUUUUUGGUAAGCUAAGAUUUUUUUGUUGGUACAUCUAUAGAAUAAGGAGUCUCCAUUUAUAAGAAAUUGAGGGAUCUAUUGAUAUCCAAAGAAAAUUCUGAUGGAUCUAUUGAUAUUUUUGGUAAGCUAAGAUUUUUUUUGUUGGUAGAUCUAUAGAAUAAGGAGUCUCCAUUUAUAAGAAAUUGAGGGGCUGAAAUUUUUUGAUUUCAAAUAAAUAUUAAUUUGACAUAGAUAAUAGAUAAUAUUGGAUUCUCCAACAAAAAACUGAAACUCACGGAUUGAAUACAAACAAAAUUGUAAAAGUAGAAAAGAACAUACACAUUAUUAAAGUAAAGCAAAACAAACACAUAUUAUUAAAGUAGAAAAGAAAAACACACAUUAUUAAAAGAAAAUAACAAACACACAUCAUUAAAGCUGAAAUACACAUUACUAAAGCAUAUAGAGAUAGAAACAUAUUUUUGAAAAAAAAAGAAAAAUACAAACAGAAAACAUAACAUCUCCGUCAGUUGUUUGUUCUUGUUAUCGAGAUGCUCUUUUCACUUAGAUUCACGAACAACUUCAUCUUUGUAGCUUAUGUCUUUUUUCAUCAAUUAGUUUGCUUUCUCUUGUUUC
rnacentral:lncRNA from 1 species